GAGCAGAGAAGAAAAACAUGAAAGAGGAUUGGAAAAGAGUAGCCUUUCUUCCUGUCCCAAGCUCGGUCUGGAGUGGAGAACUGUGUUUCUCUUUCUACAGGCAUUGAAAGAGCUGGACCAAAAAGCAGCCAAUAUCAAGUAAUCUACUAGACCUCCAGUGACUAGCACUCUAGUGCAAAACCUUAACAGUGACCUCACCAAUGUUAAGGUAGAGUAACUUCCAAGAUGUAUGGAACAUCUGAAAGUCGCAUGUACCCAUCUGUUGAUGCAAGAGAAUCUGAGACUACCAUUGAUGUUUUGUGCCUGAGGGCAAGCUUGAUGAAACAGAGACCUGCAGGGGUAUAUCUCCAAUUAAUACCUUAAGAUCAGAGCUGCCAGACCUCAACACCCUGCCAACCACACCAAGCAGAAGCUGGAGUCACCCAGAUGACCUGAUCCUGACUGGCCAACAAGAAAAGUUAAUCUGCCUUAUUGGGAGUGGUGUGCAUUAUAUGCUUA